AUUGAACGCUGGCGGCAGGCCUAACACAUGCAAGUCGAACGAGUGGCGGACGGGUGAGUAAUGUCUGGGAAACUGCCUGAUGGAGGGGGAUAACUACUGGAAACGGUAGCUAAUACCGCAUACCAUCGGAUGUGCCCAGAUGGGAUUAGCUAGUAGGUGGGGUAACGGACCACCUAGGCGACGAUCCCUAUCUGGUCUGAGAGGAUGACCAGCCACAAUGGAGCUGAGCAACGGUCCAGACUACUUCGUGGGGCAGCAGUGGGGAAGAUUGGACAAUGGGCGUAAGCCUGAUGCAGCCAUGCCGCGUGUAUGAAGAAGGCCUUCGGGUUGUAAAGUACUUUCAGAUGGGAGGCGUUACCCGAAGAAGAAGCACCGGCUAACUCCGUGCCAGCAGCCGCGGUAAGUC
rnacentral:rRNA from 1 species